GCGCGGACAUGACGGCGGAGAGCUGGCGGGGGACGUUGAGCUUGGCCGCGUAGCGUAAACGCGCAGCGGGAGUGUCCUGGCAGGGGAAGACGGAGCGCGCGUGGAUGGCGUGGCAUUGGGUGUAGACAAACGGCAGCGUCUUGUUAAAGGUCUGGGGAGGGGAGAGCCACUGGAGGGCGGAGGAGGAGGGGGAGGUGGAGUACAGUAUAAAGACGGAGGCUGCGUUGGAGAGGGUGAAGGUGAGGUGGCAGCCUUUGAUUGGGUCAGGAUGGGAGAUGACGUAAGAGAGAGGACGGGAGGGUUUAUGGGGAUCGAUGACGGAGUGGACUGUGAGGGCACGGAUGUCGAGGGAGAGUGGGCCGGAGUACGGGGCGGGGAGGGUGAGGAGGGCGGAGGCGUGGAUGGUGGAGGAGGGGAAGUCGAAGAAGAAGGAGAGGGAAAUAUGGGUGGCGAGUGGGUGAGUCGAGUCAGUGAACGAGUGAGGGUCGAUGGGCGCCAUCGGGAAAUGCUUGGGCUUUAGAGCGUGGAACCGGAAACGGACAAAUAAGGAAUUUAAAUAGACAGAGAGCAAUAAACAAUAUUUCUUCAGUUUUCUGGUUAUUAUUUUGGCUAUGUCUAGAUGAAAUUUUAAAGGUUCGAUUCAUUGAUUGAGUGAAUUUGAUAGAAUGAAUCCGGAGAUGAUCCAUUUUCAUUAUUUUGGCUUUGCCUUUCAACAUUCUGGAGGGAGAAGAAAAUCGUACACCGGCAUGUAUAUAGGGUAAAGUUUUAAGAUUAUUUACUAAGAAUUUGAUACUUUUCUUUUUCUUUUUGAAGUCUCAGAUUCUUUCUUAAGCGUGAAAAUUCGGCUAUGGAUAGAAUGACAUUCCUAAGUAAAUAAAGGAGUAUAACUUUUUUCUAAAGUGGUGAAAAUUCUUGUACGUUUCGAAUGACGUGUAUCAAAUAAACAAAAGAGUAUAAUUUCUUUGUAAAGAAGUAAAAAUUCUGCCACGUUUCAAAAGACAUGUACUGAAUAAAUAGAAAAUUGUAGCUUAUUUCUAAACUGGUGAAAUUUCUGCUAUAUUUUGAUUGACAUUCACUAAAUGAAGAAAAAAUUAUAGGUUUUUUCUAAAGCGAUUAAAGGGUAUAAAUUAGAAAAGAGUGUGCUAUCCACACAUCAUUUUUACUUCUCACAUAUAUCUGGUUAAUUUCUGUCAUUUGAUCUUCUUCAAUUCAUUUGAUCCGACACUCGAAAAUUAGAAGGAUGUGUGAGAAGUAAAAAAAUGUGUGUGGAUAUCUCACCCUAUUAGAAAAUCUCAUUUUUAUUGGGUUUGUGAAUGACUCUUUAAUAGAUAACACUAGAAAUUUGCACCCGCGCGAUGCUGCGGGAUUGAAAAUCAUAUGAGACAUUUUGCUAAACCUUAUCAUGAACGGAACAAAUUUAGAUACUAACAAAAAAUAUAAAAAUCCAUUUUUUCAAAGUGCAAAGAAAGAGAAAUUGUUUAUUCAAAAAGUUGGACCAAUGAUAAAAUUACAAAUGCAGUAUUGAGUAUAUCAGUCAAACAAAGCUUGCCACAUGCUAAACAAUGUUGAAAUACAUCAUUAGCUUUUUCAAGUGUUAUAUGCCAUGAAUGUAAUUGGAUAACAGACUUGUUCCUAGCUUGAGGUGCUUCCAAUGGAAAAUUGACCUUUCAAGUGUUAUAUGCCAUGAAUGUAAUUGGAUAACAGACUUGUUCCUAACUUGAGGUGCUUCCAAUGGAAAAAUUGACCUUUUGUUGUACUCUCUUGGACAGUUGUGAAUACAACUACAAAAAUAAUAAAGACAGCCAAUGAUUCAAAAAAAAAUAUGCAUAAAAAGUUCAAAAUUGAGUUUAGGGAGGGAGGGAGGGAGGGAGGGAGAGAGGUGAGGUCACCUUAUAACCGGAGAUCAAAUGUAUUUUUUUCCUAUUAUUGAGGUGGUAAUUCGACUUGUGAAAUUCUGAAAUCAAACAUUUAAAUAAAGUUUAAUCAAAAUUUAGUACGAAAUGUUAAUUAGAAAUGUGUUACAAUGGAAGCAAAAAAGAUUGAAACUUGUCUAAGUGAUGUGUACAAUUUUACCAUCUGUUUGUGAAAAAUAUACCGAUGUGACAUGCCAUAUGUUGGUCUUGCCUUCUUGAAAGUAAUAUUAGUCGUUGAUUGCCAGGUAGCAUAAAUCUGUACAAAAUUUUAUAAAUUAUGAGAAAAAUUAUUAUGUCAAACUUGUGUGCUAAAAAAUAAUUUUUUCUAUAUUGACGCAAGUUAUGAUUUUAAUUUGUAUAUACCUUGGUGGAGUAAUUCUGUGUAUGAGUUUCUUAUAUUCAUCAUCCAUGUUAUGUGAAAAGCUGAUUCCAAGUUCUGCAGAAAGUCACAAAAAAAUGAAAUAUAAAAUUGGAGCAAAGAUUCAAUUAUACAAAUUUACACUUCUAAACACAUAUAUAUAUUUAAAUAAAGAAAAAUUUGAAUAAAGAGGCACUAACAUUCCUCGAUGACAUACUCCUAACAUAUGAAAAACAUAUAAUUUUAAACAAAAAAAAGGUACAAAAAAUACCUCAACAAAUCGUUUGAGGUGGAUGAUCACAACAUUUUCUCUUCCCUUUAUCCUCAUACUCUUUACCCACGUUCAUGCAUGUACAAUGCUCAAACACAACCCAAAUUAGUUCAAAGGAAAUAUGCACAACCCAAGAGAAAUUAAUUAAUUCAAAUAAUUAUUCACUUCCUCACAACCCAAAUUAAUUCAAAUGAAAUCUGCACAACCCAAAGUAAGAGAUCAAACGAAAUAUGCACAACCCAAAUGAAGAGAUCAAACUCUAAUUCUCUCAAAAAAGCCAUUAUUCCUAAUGCCACCUCUCUUUUUGGCACCCUAUCCAUUCUGUCAACAACCGAUACAGAAACAAAUAAGUCCAAAAACACAAAUAUACCCAAGAAGUAAAUGUACACAACACAAAUCAAACCAAUCAGAUAACUUUAUUUAAAUAGACCAAAAUGAGUAAUAAGUCAUUGAACCCUCACUUCACCAUUCUAAGCUUUUCCAUAUCUAUAUGAGGGUAGAAAUUCAACCCUCACUACUUUCUUUUUUGAGAGUUCUGCAUACUAAUUGGAGGAAACCAAGGAAUUCGAAGCUUUUCCAUACCUCGGCUUAUAUUUUGAGGGAAUUUAAUGUGUUCUUGGAAAUUGGUAAAAGCGAUUGUGGAGGAAUAGGGGAAAAGUCCACUGUCUCUCAAGCUCUCCCUUUGAACUGCUGUAAAAGAAACUCUCACAUCCACCAUUCCCCCUAUUCCAAUUCAAAAAAUUUAUAUUAAAAAUUUUAAGAAAAAACUCAAUAGAAAAUCACUAAAUAAUUCAAUAAAUUUGGAAUUUUUGUUAUUUUCCUAAAUAAAAAAAGGUGGAAACUUUACCUGAGGAAGUGAAAGCCAAGCUGACGAAAGCAAGGCAGAUAGUGCUGCAGAUGCUAUGGAGGGACAAAAUCAGAACCGAUCCGAUUGAAUAAAUUAGUCGGAAAACUCAGGAUGUGAUCAACUUGUUCGUUGCCGAGCUGCAUCCACACAAAAACCAAACAAAUUAUUCCCAACAUCCCAAAUCCCAAUAACAAACAAUCAUACAAAAAAAUCGCCAAUUAGAUUCAAUAGCUUACCACAAUGUCAUGUGACGAACUCUGAUCACUGUCAUCGAUCUUCAUCUGCUACCAAAGCCCAUACAAAAAAAAAUCUCAGGAAAAUGCGAGAAUUCUUGAGAAACUUCAAAAUUUUGGGCGAAGAUGGUGUUUUUUCCCGAUUUUGUUGGAGGGCUCGAGGGUUUUUGGGAUUUGUUGGUUUCAGGUUGUGUUGGCCCUAAAAACUACAAAGCCUACGUGGCACGCAGGCCGAGUAAUCUAUAAGCUAACUACGUCCUUCGGUGAAUGCGGGGCGUGCCAACUCGUCGGUCGAGCUCGACCGAGGAGUAAAUUUGUUGAUGUUGCGUUGGGUACGCGGCUGACUUCUGCGUCUUGCGAUUGCGGCCGAGGAAGGAACACGUCUCGACCUCUUGGGCCCUCGAACCUGAAGACAAGGCUACUAUUUUUACGAAGUUCAAUAUCAGAUUCGGCUUUCAACAUGCCGAAUGUAAUAACUUGUAACACCUCACUUCGCCGAGAAGGCUGAUGAGAUGACCUCGACCAAUAAGGAUUCAGAAAUCCUUCUCGACCGGGACUUGGAUAGGUAAUCAAUCGUUCUCGCCGCAGUGCUGUUGAUGCCAAUGGAAGAUGUGUUAGCGAAAAAAGAAAAUAAAAAAAUCUCAAGGUGUUGAGAGUUUGCGCAAGGCAGUUGUGUGUUGAAUUCCAGGUCCUUUUCCGUUGCCACUGCAUCUGUAUUUAUAGCACUGAAGUACUUGCUCUGCAAGGUCAGAUGAUGUUGCAGAGUUUAAUUGCAAUUUUAAUUCUUGAAGUUGAUUCGUAUCAGAACCCAGAAACCAAGGCUAUCCUUCAAACUGAGCCGUGAGAUUUGUUCCAAGACUUUUCAAACUUAUCAGUCCAUCUAGGCUUAUCACAUCACAUUGUCAAAAACCUAUCCGUAGCCAUGCUUUAUCCCAUUAAGAUUCCCAAAAUAACCUACAUGCUAGGCUUUGAAUAAUAUUUAUCUAAACAACCAUCCAUUAUCUAUAUAUAUAUAUAUAUAUAUAUAUAUAUAUAUAUAUAUAUAUAUAAUAUUGUAUGUGGUCUAGGCCAUCAGAUAUCACGCCCUCCAUCAAUCCGCUUUAUAUAUAUAUAUAUAUAUAUAUAUAUAUAUAUAAUUGGUAGUCUUUCACAGGGCAUGGACACUAACCCCAUCAUCAAUUUUUAUGAUCUGACAACACCAACACCACAAGUCAUCAAUCUCUACUGUCGUGCAUGCAUAAUAAAAAGAUAAUUCACCAUUAAAAGAUAAUAUUAUGAUUAAAAUCGCAAUGUAUCUUUCAAUAAUAAUUAUCUCAACUAUCCUAUCAUCCAACGGUUGAGAGCCAUGUUCAUCAACGGCUUUGAUCGCACGAACCGAUAGUGUAAAAUCGGGCCUAAACAGGUUGAGAUAAAAGGGAAGCAAAUGGAAAAGUUAUUGAAACAUUUGAGAGAGCUCGAGAGAUCUGAGAGAGAAAAGAACAUGCUUGCACCAUCCCCAACACUUGCUUCCCCUCCCAGAUGGUUAACACGCGUACAUCCAGCCUCAUUUCCUUCCACAAUAACCAACACGCGUACAAUGGGGGUAAAUACGUGAUUUCACUGUAUAACAGAGGAAAAAGGCUGAGAAUUAGGUAGCAAAUGAGGGACAAUUUCGUCAAAUCACUGUUAAUGAACAGUGACUUCAAACUGAGUUUUAGUAUAUAUAACUAGUUUUUAGUGCCCGCGCGUUGCCGCGGGUUGUGAAAAGUUGUGUUACAAAAGAGGAAUACCAAUAAUAGUAAAGACAUUGGAAAAUCAUUAUACAUAAAAGAUUAAAUUUGGAGACCAUUAAGAUAGAUAUUACAGUUAUCCAUUUGAUUGUAGCAGUUAUCACAUUGUAAAAUUAACUGUCAAGAUUAACCAUGAUCCAAACGCUUAUAAUCCAAUCUAGUAAGUCUGUCAUUAACUAUCUGUAUAAACAUUUUACCCUGAGGUUACAACAGCAAAGAAAACAACCAAAAGAAUUAAAGAAAUGAAAAACUAUGUCGUCAGCUAAAAGAAAACACAUUUUUAACUGCUAUUAAACAUGCUGCAAAAUCCAUCAAAUUUUUUUUAGCUCCACCAAUACUUUUCCAACUACACAUAAUUUAUGUUCAUACUUAGCUAACACAACUGAAUUAAGAGAUACAAAUUAUGAACGAAGAAUCUGUGCAAAAUCUGUAACAGUGCAAAAAGACAAACAUCAUCAACUGGAAUAAAAAAUUAUACAUAAUUAACCUAGCAGAUGAAACCACGCUCAUUAGAAAAACGGAUAAAAAAUAGUUUCAACACAUACUCCAAUUGGUGCUCUGAUUUUUUCCCAAAAAUUAUAAACAAAUUUUAGGAAACAUUAAAUUUUUGUCAAAAUCCAAUCACUUUUGUAAUCUCCAGCCAAACACGACAGACACAUUUUCAUCUGCUAUUCAAACAACUUAUUGAUCUAUUAACUGCCUUAUCACUUCUGAAUGAUUACCAUCACAAAAAUGUUUACCUAAUCCAAUCUAUUACAUCCAUUGCUCAGCAUUUGUAUAAGCAUAUUAACCUAAGAUCAAAACAACAAACUGAAGAACCAAAAAAAUAAAACAAACGAAAACAGCGACAUCACCUAAAACGAAAUACACUUUGAUGUCACAUUCAAAGAACCUGUAAAAUGUAUUAAUAAUAACACACACUACACGUUGAGAGAAGUUAAUCAUUUUGUGUUUCAGCAAACAACAAUAUUGUGUUUCAAAAUGAUUCAACAUUAGGUAAGAAAUCAAGACAUUAAUCAAUCUCAGCACAAAAUGCCAACACCGUUAUUGGCUACAUGAGAUUAACUUGCACUCUGUUGAGGCAAAAAGAAGAGAACAACGGUCAUGCAUCACCGGCACAAUCGAGUCCACAAUCUGAAAUUUUUGCAAUCACCCAUUAAAGUGUGUUUAACUAUUAAAACAAAUUCACUGUCAAAUUUUUUUAAUUUGCUGCAGGUUCAUUUUUGGAUAAUAAAAUUUAACUUCAUUUUCUUGCCUGUCAAUCGAUCUUUACAUUUUUCAAUCACUCAGUUUUUGUUUUUACAUAACUUGGAAAUAACACAAAUUUCCUUCAAAUUAAAUCAAAGAAAACAUGAAAGCAUUAAACACAAACAAAAUACAGCAUAACACAAUUCUUACACCACAGGAAAAACCAAAACUCAUCUCUCCAAAACCCUUGAAGGGACGAAAGGAAAACACUCACCAAUAACAAACACGGCUUGCAAACCUGCACACAAAAGCACCAAACAACUAAAAAUUAGUUUGGGACGAAACCAAACAAAAAAAAAAAAGAAAAAUUCCAGACUCAACCAGAACGAAGAACCAUACCCAAAAACCCAAGAUGGUAGCAAAACCCCCAAAUUUCCAAAACACAGCUGCAAACAGGAAACCCAUCCACAAAAAUGAAAAACGGUAAGGAACAAAAAGAAAUACCUAAUAUGAGAAAGGCAAACAACUAACCAGGAGAAUCCACCCUUUAUAGAUAGAAAAACCUUCGAACCCAACCAAACAACCGAAAGAGCGCAAACCACCAGUAGUGUUUUUUCCCAACAAACUAACACCACGCUGCUAGACACAAAGAAGAAGCAGUGGCUGGCUUAAAACGAAAACCGGGAAAGAUUCAAAAUCGGAAGAAAGCGAUUGGCAAGAGCGGGAGAAGGAGAGAAAAUAACAAUGAAAAAUCUGAAGACGAAAGGGAGAAAAGAAGAAGAAAAGUAGGUAGACCAGCUAACUCCGAUGACCAACACCUGUCCACCAUUAUGAAAACAAAAGGGAGAAAAGAAGAAGAAAAGCACGUAGACCAACUGACUCCAAUGACCAACACCUGUCCAGAAUGGGCAAAAUAGGGUUUUUACUGUGCGAAAAACUGAAGAGAACACCAAAACAGAGAAAAAAUGGAGGGGCAAAACGGUCCACACACUGGUCAUCCACAGUGACCAGGGGGUUUGAGUUUUAGUAUAUAUGAUUUCCUUAGCAUAGAUCUUUAUUUUAUUUUAUUUCCGAAGAAUUUUUCAUGGGCUCCAUAUCAUCUAAUUUGUGUUGUUUACGUAUUAGGCUUUAAAAUUCAUCGUAGCGUGUUGAGAAUAUCAAUCCACCCACAUAAAAAAAAAAAAAAGAACUUUGAUGUACUUAUAAGUAAUUGGAACCUUAUAUUGCCAAUUAGUUUUUGUAGACAUCGAAAUUUCUAUAAAUAAAUGUUGACCGAUAAAUCAAAGUUUCAACACUCAUGUAUUACAUAAAUUUUACACGUAGCGUGUGUCUAAACAAAAAAUCGAGAAUCAUCGGAAAAGUCAUCAAACAUGACACGUGUCAACACCUGGCAGAAACGACUUAUUUCAUCUGGAAUAUUAUAUUCAAAAUUAGGCUUUAGAAAAUUCUAUAAAUAGAAGCCAAAUUCAUUCAUUUGAAGGGGGAAUUGAUAUUAGGCAAAAACCUUGAAGCUCUGAAACUCUGAAACUUCGAAGCUCUCAAGCAUCCAGGUUCCCGAAGAAUCAAGAAAGCGUUUUUCGUUCUUUGUUCAUCGUUCUUCCAAGAUCAAGCCCCAACGGCCCUUGGAUCAACAAUCCACCAAUUCAAGAUCAAGCCCCGACGGCUCUUGAAGAAAGUGUUCUUCGUUCUUCGUUCAUCGUUCUUCCAAGAUCAAGCCCCGACGGCCCUUAGAUCAACAAUCCACCAAUUCAAGAUCAAGCCCCGACGGCCCUUGAAGAAAGUGUUCUUCGUUCUUCGUUCAUCUUAAGAUCAAGCCCCAACGGCCCUUUGGAUCAACAAACGUCAAUAAAUCCAUACAUCCAACAGUUCUUCAAGAUCAAGCCCAAAAGCCCCAAAGAUCCGUUCAUCACUGUUCUUCAAGGUCAAGCCCAAAAGCCCUUGAAGAUCUGUUCAUCGCCGUCAAUCAAGAUCAAGCCUCAACAGCCCUUGAAGAAACACUCAUCCUCAAGAUCAAGCCCCAACGGCUCCUUGAAGAUCCGCUCAAAUCCACCUUCAAAGAUCAAGCCUACAGUCCUUGAAGAAACUUCCAACAGUUCAUCUAAAAUCAAGCCUCGACGGCCCUUGGAUCAACGAAACAUCCACAAAUCAACACCUUACGGAGAUCGAAUCAGAUGAUCAAAUUUGAGAGAGAUUGUAACCCAAAAUCAUCAAAUACAAACAUUAUUUUGUGCACGUUGUUCUUGUCCCUUUCCUUUCAGGAAAUUUUCGUGUUCACAAAUUUGGCACGCUCGGUGGGACAAUCUCUACCUCUCAUCUCUUUCUCCAUUCAAGAAAUUCAAGCACAUUUCCAAAAUCAAUGGCAUCAAGCAAAGGACAAGCCGUUCUCGCAAAGGGAAGAAGCCUGAGCACUUCCGCCAUGAACGGAGCAUCCAUUGACGCCACAACUACUCUUCAACAAACCACUUCAAAGUCGAUACCGUUGAGGGAGCAAGUGGAGCAUCAAAGACGCAAGCCCGUCAUCAACCUAACCUCGCUGGGGGCAUCGAAGCAUGUCGUUGAGGCACAUCAGAUUACAUCCCAAAACGGCCAACGGGGUCCUUCGUCAGCAUCCUGGAUGUCUAAAGGGAAGUCACGUCUAUUGGUUGCACAAGUCAUGAUCAUCGACGUUACCUCCAUCGAAGAACAACUGGCUCAAAUGAAUGAAGCGAUCCCAAGGCUAACACGGAUUGUGGAAGAAAAAUACUUGCAAAUCGCUGCACUCAUCAGCCGACUGAAGCCACAGGACGGCGAGAAACCCGACCCAGAGGAUGAUCCACUAAAGGGAGAAGGUGGCGGAGAAGAAGAGCCUCCGGUGGAGAGAAUCAAUGUGAAGCCGGAGCCAGACCAAACAGCGGCACUCAUGGGAUCUCUUUCUAUCCAGCAGAUGCAGGAGAUGAUCAACAACACUAUCAAGGCAUAGUACGAAGGGAGCUCAAAUACCUCCGGGAUGUACUCGAAUCUGUAUUCAAAGAAGAUUGAUGCCUUAAGGAUGUCGAUGGGUUAUCAACCACCAAAGUUCAUGCAAUUUGAUGGAAAGGGAAACCCGAAAUAGCACGUUGCCCACUUUUUUGAAACUUGUAACAACGCAGGGACCGAAUGGGACUACCUCGCUAAGCAGUUUGUGCGCUUGCUGAACAGAAACGCAUUUGAGUGGUACACGGACCUAGAGCCUGAGUCCAUCAACAGCUGGGAGUAAUUGGAGCGGGAAUUCCUCAACCGUUUCUACAACACCUGCCGCACUGUGAGCAUGUUAGAGCUAACGAGCACAAAGCAGUGGAAGGACGAGCCAUUUAUUGACUACAUUAACAGAUGACGCACUCUAAGCCUCGACUGUAAAGACAAGCUCUCGGAAACCUCUUCAAUCGAGAUGUGCAUCCAAGGCAUGCAAUGGGGUUUGCAAUACAUCCUUCAAGGCAUUAAACCAUGGACCUUCGAGGAAUUGGCCACUCGCGCCCAUGACAUGGAGUUGAGCAUCACCCAUUAUGGGAAGAAGGAACCGAUCGCCGACUACAAGAAUGACAAAGUUCUUGAGACAAAGGUGGAGAAGGCUGCGUGGAAAUCCACCAAGGAAGCAAUGACGGUCAACACAGCUCCCAUCAAAAUCCCUACACGAGGCAAGGCCAUUCAAGCUGAAGUUUUUCGUGAUCAAGAGAUGCGUAGACGCACUUUGAAGGAGCUUGAGGAGAUGACUUAUCCAUUCCCCGACUCUGAUGUGGUUGCCAUGUUAGAAGACUUGCUGGAAAAGAAGGUGAUUGGUUUGCCUGAGUGCAGACGGCCAGAAGAGAUGAAUCGCACCGACAGUCCAAGGUACUAUAAAUUCCACCGUUUCAUCAGUCACCCGACAGAAAAGUGCUUCGUGCUGAAAGAUCUCAUCAUGAAACUGGCUCAGAAAGGAAUCAUCGAGCUAGAUCUUGACGAUGUGGUGAAGUCAAACUAUACCACCGUCACUUCUGGCUCUUUCGACUCAAAGUCUUUACCUCAACCGCUGGGGGCAUGCUCCAAGUCAAGCGAAGUUGAAGGAUGGAUUCAUGUCACUCCGAAGAAAUUACACAAGAAGCAUACGUUUCCUCCACAAGUUCACCAAUGGGAAAGGAGGCAAAUCAGCUCUCAUUAACCUCCAAAUUUACACAAAAAUGUUGAGGAUGAUGAAAUUGCGACACAAAGAUCGUCCGUUGCCAUCACGAUGCGCAACUUCUUACCUGAAGACUUCUCCAAUCACUCGGUCAAUGCUCUUUGCUAUGAAGAUUGUGAGGAACGCCUCUCCAAAAUUGCUUGACAAAUUCACCAGUUCUCCUCGCCCGCACGAGUCUAAACUGCAUGGCACAAAGCUCCUGGUUUGCACGAGCAUAAAAGGCAACACCAAUGCUCUUUGUUCGCACGAGCCUAAACUACAUGAACCAAAGCUCUUGGCCUGCAAGAGCAUAAACUGUGUACGGCGAAAUCAUCAUCAAAAUCAUUGUUAAAUUCAUCGCUCAUUUGAACUACGUCAUGACUUGAUCCCUCCUCAACCGAGGGUACGUAGGCAACUUGAAACUUCAAAACUUCAAGUACAGUCACAUCACCAACAAAAAAAAAACACAAACACUUUGAAGAAUAAAAAGCAAGUUCAGAAUAUGAAGACUUUAUUUCUUUAAAAUGAAUGAUUUGGUUACAAAGCUGUAUUACAAAGGUGAGCAUCACACCAACAUCACCACUGAGGAAAGUUGUAACCAAAAGACACUACACAGUAUAAACUCGCUGCAAUCUUUGACACAACCUCACACGGUAAAAAUGACACGCUGGAACAAGCUCCAAGCAGCAACGACAAAGAGCCCACGGCAAGCACCAAGGUCAAUGUGCCCACCAACGUCACCACCAAGGAAAGUUGUGACCAAAAGACACUACACAGCAUAAACUCGCUGCAGUCUUUGACACAACCUCACACGGUAAAAGUGACACACUGGAACAAGCUCCAAGCAGCAACGGCAAAGAGCCUACGGCAAGCACCAAGGUCAAUGUGCACACCAACAUCACCACCAAGGAAAGUUGUGACCAAAAGACACUACACAACAUAAACUCGCUGCAGCCUUUGACACAACCUCACACGGUAAAAGUGACACACUGGAACAAGUUCCAAGCAGUAGGACGACAAACAGUGUAACAAGGACGGUGGGCAGUGCAAUGAUGCGCAUCGAAUAAUGCAACGACAGUGGUGCAGCAAGCACGGCAAAGAGGCAGCUACAAGACGGUCCUUCAAAGCACACUACAGUAGCAAAGAAACCAAAAUGCUACGCAACCCCGCAAUGGUUACUCAAGCAGUUUCUUGCACUGCACGGCGACGUUACCACCAAGGGGAGAACUGUGACCAAAAGGCAUUACACAGCGAAGCCCCGCUGCAGUCUCUUGCACAGCACCACACGACAGCGCACCACCGAGGGAAAACUGUGAUAAAAAGGCACUACACAGCGAAACCCCGCUGCAGUCUCUGGCACAAGCACUAGGCAGCUUGCUUACUCUGCCACCAACUACCACAUCUCUGGAAGCCUCGUGAGGGCCUGGCACCAUGCUCUAUCUUCUCAAAAUUAAAGAUUCCUAACAUUUACAAAAAAUCACCAAAAAAAAAAAGAAUCAAGGUUAGCAGGUGAAACUCAAGGCCCGAGGCAUAAACUCUUAUGCAUUGGGCUUCAUUGGGCUUUGGCGAUGGCCUCCAUUCCACCACUUCAAUCCUCAAAGUUCCAGAAAAGCAGAAACCCAAGUGGCAGUGACCAGGCCCAAGCCUAUUGUCCAAAUUCAACAUCAUACCCAGGACUGAUCUCCCAUAUCCUCUCAGCACAACUCAGCGCCUUCUUCCGUGCGUCUCCAGUAGCUCAACACUCUCUCUGCUUCCACAGCUCUCCCUCCAGACCUGAUCCCAACAACCAGGGUAUCUGUGAAGAAGUUGGAAAACAUGGGUAACGGAGUUAGCAGCGGUGGUGGUCUGAGUUCUUUAAACUACCUUUUUUGGGAAUGGAGAGGCUCCAAAACUGGCUGCCACAAUGCUCAAGCUGCACCAGGCUCGAUUUCUUCUUUAUUGACACCGACAAAACCCUCAACGACCGAGCGUACAAGAUCAUCCACUACUCCAGCUCCGAAACUUGGUGGUAGCAUCACUCUGAUUUCCGAGGCUAGAUCAAGAAGGUCUAUGAGAAGUGACUCCCCUGCUUCUUCUGAUGUUUCUAGACUAACAAGCCGGAAGAAGUUCAACGUUUUUGCCUCGCCAUCUUACUGGUUGCAGCAGAUUAAGCUGUCUGAGGCUGCUGGCAAGUACUCGACUUCACUCAGGUUUUUUCAAACUAGCCACGGACGCUUAAUGAAGUUGGAGAAGCAAGCUGAGUUGCAAGCAGCGGCGACGGACUCAAACCAACACCCCGUCGUGCCUUCGUCUACUUCAAGUCCGAGACUUCUUGCAUGCACCACGACCUCCACCCCUGCAAUUCCGGCGAGGUUGGACCAGAUCCAUUAAGCUUCUUCUUCCUUCUACCAUGUGAUGGUUAGUGAAGAGGCUGACAUGGCGGCAGAGACGAAGCUUGAGCCGCAACCAUUGUCGACGACUCUGCUUGCUACGAACCGUUUCAUGUACAAGAUCUGCAGCUCGAUCGACGGGGCACAACCUGCCAUGGAAGCUAGAGCAGUGGACGAGCAAAGAAGUAUGGAAGCAAGGGCUACGUCUGCCUCGAGACCUUCAUCUGCGACGGAUCUUCCCUCUCGGCACCAACCCUUCUUUCCUCCACACCUACCUCCUCCAUGCUCUUCCUUCUUCCUCAUCCAAGCUCAUCUCCUGCGCCACCUUCCUCCACACCUACCUCAUCUGUGCUCCUCCUUCUUCCUUCUCCUCCGUGCUCCUCUUUCUUCCUUCUCCUCCGUGCUCCUCCUUCUUCCUCCUCCAAGCUCCUAUCCCGCACCCUAUAUAUAUAUCUAUAUGUAUAUGUAUGUACGUAUGUAUGUAUGUAUGCAUGAAAAAAAAAUUAUAAUAUAAAAAAAGGGAAAAGAGGAGACAUGGUGCACCCAGCACCGAAAGCGAAAAAAAAAUUUAUAAAAAAAUGAUGGUGUCAGCCACCACCCUAAUAUAUAUAAGAAGAAGAAGAAAGUGGAUCCUUGGUGGCUAGCACCAUGCAAAAAAAAAAAAAGAAUAUGUGUACAUAAUAUAUGUAUGUAUACAGCAAAAAAAAAUGCAUUAAGAGAAAUAAAGUCCAUUUUAUUCAUUUUUUUGGAAAUUUUACAUAAAUUUGCAUUAUACAUACCUUAAAAAAAAUAAAUCAAAAGUCAAAUCAAAAUUACAGGAGGGGAUCUUCAAGGAUGAUCAGCUGGCGCCUCAUCACUCGGCGGAGCUCCAGGAAGAAGAGGCGCCGGAGGUUGACUGUUGGAAGCCUCACCACUCGGCGAAGCUCUAGGAAAAAGAAGCACCGGAGGUUGACUGUUUGGAACCUCAACACUCGGUAAAACUCUAGAGGACGAAGGCAAUAGGUGCCUCUGGAGUGAAGCCACAAACAUCUGAUGGUCACUCUGAAUCCGACCUUCGGAUUCUUGCAGCUGGUCGAGCUUUCUCUUCAUGCUCGUCGAGUAAUUAUUGGCAAGCAUGUGCAACUCUCUGUUUUCGCGCUUGAGCCCUCUAAUUUCCUGUUUGAGACUCAUCACUUCAGCCGCCAAUGAUUCAACUUGACGGGUUUGAGCAAAUAGACGUUGGGCCAUAUUAGACACAGAACUUGCACACUGCACACUGAAAGCCAGAGAAUCCUUAACAGCCAACUCAUCAGACCGUUUGGAAAGUAGUCUGUUAUCUUUGGGAGUGACAAGGUUCCUGGCCACCACCGCAGCGGUCAUAUCAUUCUUCAUCACCGAAUCUCCAACGAUAAGAGGACCAGUAGGGGAUAUGAAGGAUGGGCGCCAUAUGUUUUCUGGAAAAGAAGAAACUGCCUAUUCACCAAGGUUCAAGUCAAAACGACGAUCGAAAGGUCCAGACAUUUUCAAAGGUGUUGAAGAAAGAAGAGGUUGGACAAAUCAAAGAUCUUAGAAGUGCAAGAAUGGAGUUUUCUACAAGCUAAAAUUCAAGUGUGCUUUGAAACGAAUUGCAUGCCUCUAUAAAAAUCAGCACUCGACGGGAUUUCAGAGAUCGAAGAGGCGAGCUCAGAAUUCGAAAAGGCCAAUUCAAAAAUCAAAGAGGCAAGCUCAGAAAUCGGAGAGGCAUCUUGCUUUUCCAAACGCGUCAGCACCCGUCACACGCAAACUCAGCUUUGCGGAAAUCACGGGCAAUUUGUCGAAGCGCCGAUCCCAGAUAUCGAAGAGGCGCCAGUCUUUUUCAGCCUCGUCAACACCUGUCACAUGUACACUCAGCUUGGCGGAAAUUACGGACAAUUUGUCGAAGAUUUCUGAUAAAGAAGAAAGCAUGUGAAUCCAUACUGAUCAAUCACUCAAUGGUUGCCGACACGAGUGAAAGAAUAGUACCUUUACAGGGAUUAAAGGACUUCCUAUAACUGUCCACCUUCACCCUCCAUAGCAAGGCAGACAUACAGAACAUUUCUUCAUCUCCGAGAAUGCCUUCCCAACGAAGCCUCUCGAGUCACCCAGUGUUCCUUAUUCCUUGGGGUACCUCAGCAAACAAAUGACACCAAAGCAAAAGUAUCUCAUAUCACCAGGGUAGAAAGCAAGAGUAUCUCAUAUCAUGCGUUCUCCCUGUCAUUUCCUUUGUUGUUCUUACUUGCAAAAACAAGGAUAAAGAAAGCAAUAUGCCGGAACCUCCACUCAAACUCGGGUAAGGAAUCGACUACUUGGAACCCUUCCCUGAUUGCCUACCUAGCACUGCUAUCGAGUACCAGUCUUCCACUGCUGUUGUACUUCCAAAGAAGCUGUCACAUCUGCCUAGAGAACAGAUAAGGCAAGUGAAAAUAAUACCUUGCAGCAUGUGGAGACAACGUGCAGAAAAAACAAGCAGAGAAGAAUGCAGUCUGCACAGCCAACUCAGCAGAAGGAGUCUGAGCUGAGGAACUCAAGAAGCUGCCACAUCUGCCUGUAGAACAAAUAAGGAAAUACGGCGUACACAAUCAACUUAGCAGAAGGAGUCCGAGUUGAAGAAUUAGAGAAAAGAAGGGGUCUGAGUUGAAUCCAAGAGCUCGAGAAGCUUCAACAAAAUAUUGACAGCACCAUCGCCGAAGAACAAAGCCUCGAUGUGCAAACGCUGUCAAAUCGCCACCACUUCUUCGAAAGCAAGAGUAUUUCAUAUCAUGCUUUCUCCCUGUCCUUUUCUUUGUCCUUGUUCUUACCUGCGGGACAAAGAGGAAAAAAGCAAUCAGCCAGCACUUGGUGUCAAACUUCCAGUCAGGAACCGACUGCUUGGAACCCUUCCCUGAUUGCUUUCCGAGCACUACUCUCGAAGUACCCAUUAUCUCAACAUCUUAUGCUUCCAGAGAAGAUACCACAUCUGACCGAAGAACAGAUAAGGCAAGGGAAAAUGAUACAUUGAAGCAUGUGGAGAUAAGCACAACAAGGCACGUGCCGAUUCAUCUGCUACUUCUUCAAAAUCAAAAGUAUCUCAUAUCAUCAGGGUUGCAAUCACUUUGGGUAGUGGACUCGUUUUGACCCUUAAAUUCUUGGGUCGACUCUCUAGGCGUUGUGGGCUGCACGUGCUGAUUCACCACCCUUGAAUCAAAUCCUUAAAGAUCAAGUCACCAACUGGAAGAAGAGCCCAUCAAUCUUGAAGAUCAUACCGUUGACCAAACUGCUCAAGUGUGAAUUAGAAAGAUUGAACAAAGCAACAAGUCGUCACCUUCACCUCGUGCCUGCUUGCCAUGCAUUCGAGUCAACCUUCAAGAAUCCAGCCUUAACAGCCCUUGAAGAAGCUUCCAGCCAAAUUCAAGAUCAAGCCUCGACGACCCUUGAGGAAAUCACAAGUCCGAUUCAAGAUCAAGCGUCCACCAUAUUUGAAUCAAAUCCAGUUCAAGAAUAAGCUGUGUAAAAUCAACAAUUGGAGAAAUCCAAAGCUGUGGAAAGUCAACAAGCGCAAAAAAACAAAUAUGUGCCGAUUCACCCACUACCAAAGCCAAAGAUCAUCUACCACAUGAAGCUCAUUGUGGUCCAAUUUCAAACUUCAAGAUCAAGCCUUGACGGCCCUUGAAGAAAUUUCAAACAAAGUUCAAGAACAAGCUUUAACGGCCCUUGAAGAAAUUUCCAGCCCAAUUCAAGAUCGAGCCCCAACGGCCCUUGGAUCGACAUCUACAAUAAGGGACUUCAAAACAAAUCUCCUACACAUGACAAGCACAUGUAUACGACGCGCCUUAACGUGGGGGCAUUUGUAGGCAUCGAAAUUUCGGUAAAUAAAUGUUGACCGAUAAUCAAAGUUUCAACGCUCAUGUAUUACAUAAAUUUUACACGUAGCGUGUGUCUAAAUAAAAAAUCGAGAAUCAUCGGAAAAGUCAUCAAACAUGACACGUGUCAACACCUGGCAGAACGACUCAUUUCAUCUGGAAUAUUAUAUUCAAAAUUAGGCUUUAGAGAAUUCUAUAAAUAGAAGCCAAAUUCAUUCAUUUGAAGGGGGAAUUGAUAUUAGGCAAAAACCUUGAAGCUCUGAAACUCUGAAACUCCGAAGCUCUCAAGCAUCCAGGUUCCCGAAGAAUCAAGAAAGCGUUCUUCGUCCUUCGUUCAUCGUUCUUCCAAGAUCAAGCCCCAACGGACCUUGGAUCAACAAUCCACCAAUUCAAGAUCAAGCCCCGAUGGCUCUUGAAGAAAGUGUUCUUCGUUCUUCGCUCAUCGUUCUUCCAAGAUCAAGCCCCGACGGCCCUUGGAUCAACAAUCCACCAAUUCGAGAUCAAGCCCCGACGGCCCUUGAAGAAAGUGUUCUUCGUUCUUCGUUCAUCUUAAGAUCAAGCCCCAACGGCCCUUUGGAUCAACAAACGUCGACAAAUCCAUACAUCCAACAGUUCUUCAAGAUCAAGCCCAAAAGCCCUCGAAGAUCAGUUCAUCACUGUUCUUCAAGGUCAAGCCCAAAAGCCCUUGAAGAUUCGUUUAUCGCCGUCAUUCAAGAUAAAGCCUCAACGGCCCUUGAAGAAACACUCAUCCUCAAGAUCAAGCCCCAACGGCUCCUUGAAGAUUCGUUCAAAUCCACCUUCAAAGAUCAAGCCCACGACCCUUGAAGAAACUUCCAACAGUUCAUCCAAAAUCAAGCCUCGACGGCCCUUGGAUCAACGAAACAUCCACAAAUCAACACCUUACGGAGAUCGAAUCAGAGGAUCAAAUUUGAGAGAGAUUGUAACCCAAAAUCAUCAAAUACAAACAUUAUUUUGUGCACGUUGUUCUUGUCUCUUUCCUUUCAGGAAAUUUUCGUGUUCACAGUUUUACAAAUUGAAUUGCACCCAAAAUCAUCAUAUACAAUUGGAUUUGUUAUACCAAUUGAAUGCAUAUUGAUUGACUUCAACCUUUCGGAUUGCAUUACACCCUUAAAUGUGGAAUUGAAUCGUAAAUCUCUAUCAGAAUUCUGUAAAUCGGCUGAAUUGUUGUAUCUUGUAUUACUAGAACAUUCUACUCUCUGGCACUCAAGAUGAUGUGGUGCUAAAGGUAGCUGAUUUCGGUCUCUCAAGGUAAACUCUAGCAGAGAGAUCCAUAUGCGGAAAUUCAUCCACUAACCCAGUUUAGGAUGAGUUUAGGAUGUGUUUAUUAUGAUUUAAAGCAACCAACUGUGGUGGUUUCGUUCCUUAUUAGCUUAUCUUUGCUGCCGUGUACAGAAGUUUACAUCCGGGUGAUUAUGCGGAGACAGUUUGUGGAUCCCCGUUGUACAUGGCACCUGAAGUUCUUCAGUUUGAAAGAUACGAUGGGAAGGUACGGUCUUGUCUAUAACUUGUGUCAUUUUCCCCUUUCAAUCACGAUAAAUCAAAAUUGACGGAUUCAGUUUAUAGGUUGACAUGUGGAGUAUUGGCGUAAUUCUUUUCGAGCUUCUCAAUGGUCGCCCUCCUUUCCCUGGUAGGACUAACUUGUGAUUUUACUGAUAAACUGCACUAGAAGAGGUGUUGAACAGAUAUGUCAAGACCUCCAAGUUCCAUGGCUUUGCCAUGGAUCGGGAGAAGUGCAAUUUUACUGUUUUAGACUGAUUUGGUAGUAACUGUGUAGAAAUCAUAAGUGAAUACCGAAAGUCCGUUGAUUCCAAUAACUCUGAGUUACUUGCUUCUGUAAAUGGAUAUGUUCAUGAUAUAAUAGAAAUUGAAAUCCUCCUAAGAAAGCGAUACUUGAUGAGUAUUAUUCUCGUUCCUGUCAUGCAUCAAGUAACAUUGAUUUUGCAGGCAUAGCUUUGAUUCGUAUUUUCGAAUUUACACAUAAAAUAUCAUCAGGCAUCAGCAAGCGAGAUACAAAAGUCAGCUACAUUUUAUUUACGAGAUCAUUCACAUGCACAGGCUACAGAUCUCAGAGAUUAGGACAUAGCCAACAACGAAGUCAAGGAUUCGCUUCCAAAUUGCGGUUCGUGUACUCUACAUUCUCACACACAAUUUCAGCAGUGCUUGUUUAAGAUUGUCUCAAUACCGCCUUGAGCUAUAGGGUGGUAAGUCUCGCGAGCGGCUGCAAACACCUGCUUGGCCAGAAUCUUCUCUUCUUCAUUUCCAUUGCCUUCCACAAGAGCCCUGUAGAGGGGGACAAGGUACUUCAUCCUCCCAACUUCCUUCAAAGUUUUCUCCACCUCGCCCAAGUAGUCUUUGCAGUUGGAAGCAAUGGCCAGCAGGAGAAAUGUCACCUUCACAUCAUAAUCUUUUGAUUCUGCCAGCCUGAAGCGCGAGUUCAACUCUACAACCUGCAAAUCAAGUCACAAGAGCUAAGAAAUUAAGUAACUAUGCGUGUCGAAGGCUGCUAUGGAAUCAAGUCGUAGAAAAUAAGUACCUGUGAAGGUUCAAUAGGCUUGGGGAGGCUCUCCAAGUAGAGUUCCCACUCCUGCCCUCUCCAGUCAGCAACUUCAUCCUCCCCCGGCAUCCUACCAAGCUUAAAUUCAUUUGCCAUGGACACAAUCUUUGCAUAUAUGUUAGAAACCGGUUCAUACGCAUCAGGAGGGAUACCAGUGCCCUCAGUCCACACCACUAAGUCAACCUCUUUCUCUAUUCCAGGUAGGUUUGCCUUGAGAAACUCGAGAAACGUAUCGGUAUCAAUUGACUGGAACUUGAAGGUGGCAAUGUAUUUCUUCAGAAACUCAUCAAACGCAGGCCUUCCAACCUUCAGAUUCCGAAAAACAAGUGCCGAUCAGAUCGUCUUUACAGGCCAACAUCUAGAAACAAAAGAAGUUACAACUUCAACAUACCUGACGUUCGAUGCGCCAUAGAAACUGGAAACCCUUUUCAUAAGGGACUCGAGAAAACACAUCAUCUGGAUCAACUCCUUCCUGGUUGGUUUUCAGCUUUGUGACCUCCAAGCUAUCCUUGAACCUCUCCAUUUCCUUGUGCAAACCCCGCCAGCCGAUUCCAAUGUUCAGUGCAGCUCUGUCCUCGCCUUGCACAGCCUCAACAAUUCUCCUCUCAGCAUAUGUCGUGAAACCCUGCAGCAAUAAGUAAAUAUUAACACCCUGACAUCAACUACCAAUGCUCAUUAGUUUAAGCCCGAAAAGUUGAACCGGUGAAUGUUUGAAUGUAAAUUUAGUACCUCAUUCAACCAAAAAUGCUCGUUAGUUUUGUUGGUGAUCAAGUUCCCAGUCCAGCUAUGAGCCAGCUCGUGCGCCACCACCUGCGCGCCGCUGGCGUCGCCUUUGAGCACCGUCGGCGUCAAGAACGUCAUUCUCGGAUUCUCCAUUCCACCGUACGGAAAGCUCGGGGGCAGCACCAAAAGAUCGAACCUUUCCCACACGUACGGCCCAAACAAGGCCUCCCCUUGCCUGAUCAUGUCCUCGCUGCUCGCGAACUCCGUCGCCGCCGAUUCAAGCACAGCCGGCACCGCCUCAGAGUAAACCCUAGUCCUCGGGCCCACCUCCCGGAACCCCAGCUCACCGACGGCGAACGCGAAUAGGUACGGCGGGAUUGGCUGCUCCAUCACGAACUCCUCGACGACCCUGUCCUCAGAGCACCACAAGGCGUCGCCGGAGACCAGCGCCGACCCCUCGCCGGCGAUCGGGUCGCGGCGGGAGACGUGACGCGCGGACAUGACGGCGGAGAGCUGGCGGGGGACGUUGAGCUUGGCCGCGUAGCGUACACGCGCAGCGGGAGUGUCCUGGCAAGGGAAGACGGAGCGCGCGUGGAUGGCCUGGCAUUGGGUGUAGACAAACGGCAGCGUCUUGUUAAAGGUCUGGGGAGAGGAGAGCCACUGAAGGGCGGAGGAGGAGGGGGAGGUGGAGUACAGUAUUAAGACGGAGGCUGCGUUGGAGAGGGUGAAGGUGAGGUGGCAGCCUUUGAUUGGGUCAGGAUGGGAGAUGACGUAAGAGAGAGGACGGGAGGGUUUAUGGGGGUCGAUGACGGAGUGGACGGUGAGGGCACGGAUGUCGAGGGAGAGUGGGCCGGAGUACGGGGCGGGGAGGGUGAGGAGGGCGGAGGCGUGGAUGGUGGAGGAGGGGAAGUCGAAGAAGAAGGAGAGGGAAAUAUGGGUGGCGAGUGGGUGAGUCGAGUCAGUGAACGAGUG
rnacentral:lncRNA from 1 species